rnacentral:rRNA from 1 species
UCGGGGCGCAGCAGGCGCGAAAACUUUACAAUGCGGGAAACCGUGAUAAGGGGACACCGAGUGCCAGCAUCAUAUGCUGGCUGUCCAGGUGUGUAAAAUACACCUGUUAGCAAGGGCCGGGCAAGACCGGUGCCAGCCGCCGCGGUAACACCGGCGGCCCGAGUGGUGAUCGUGAUUAUUGGGUCUAAAGGGUCCGUAGCCGGUUUGGUCAGUCCUCCGGGAAAUCUGACGGCUCAACCGUUAGGCUUUCGGGGGAUACUGCCAGGCUUGGAACCGGGAGAGGUAAGAGGUACUACAGGGGUAGGAGUGAAAUCUUGUAAUCCCUGUGAGACCACCUGUGGCGAAGGCGUCUUACCAGAACGGGUUCGACGGUGAGGGACGAAAGCUGGGGGCACGAACCGGAUUAGAUACCCGGGUAGUCCCAGCCGUAAACGAUGCUCGCUAGGUGUCAGGCAUGGCGCGACCGUGUCUGGUGCCGCAGGGAAGCCGUGAAGCGAGCCACCUGGGAAGUACGGCCGCAAGGCUGAAACUUAAAGGAAUUGGCGGGGGAGCAC